CAGUAGCCGCGGUAAAACGUAGGUGGCAAGCGUUGUCCGGAAUUAUUGGGCGUAAAGGGCUCGCAGGCGGUUUCUUAGGUCUGAUGUGAAAGCCCCCGGCUCAACCGGGGAGGGUCAUUGGAAACUGGGAAACUUGAGUGCAGAAGAGGAGAGUGGAAUUCCACGUGUAGCGGUGAAAUGCGUAGAGAUGUGGAGGAACACCAGUGGCGAAGGCGACUCUCUGGUCUGUAACUGACGCUGAGGAGCGAAAGCGUGGGGAGCGAACAGGAUUAGAUACCCCCGUAGUCCCUGUCUCUUAUAC
rnacentral:rRNA from 1 species